rnacentral:rRNA from 1 species
UACGUAGGGUGCGAGCGUUAAUCGGAAUUACUGGGCGUAAAGGGUGCGCAGGCGGCUUCGCAAGUCAGGCGUGAAAUCCCCGAGCUUAACUUGGGAAUUGCGUUUGAAACUACGAGGCUGGAGUGUGGCAGAGGGAGGUGGAAUUCCACGUGUAGCGGUGAAAUGCGUAGAUAUGUGGAGGAACACCGAUGGCGAAGGCAGCCUCCGGGGCCAACACUGACACUCAUGCACGAAAGCGUGGGGAGCAAACAGG